rnacentral:rRNA from 1 species
UACGUAGGGACCGAGCGUUGUCCGGAUUCAUUGGGCGUAAAGAGCUCGUAGGCGGCUGUUCGAGUCGAACGUGAAAACUCGGAGCUCAACUCCGAGCCUGCGUUCGAGACUGGAUGGCUAGAGUCUGGUAGGGGGAUCUGGAAUUCCUGGUGUAGCGGUGGAAUGCGCAGAUAUCAGGAGGAACACCGGUGGCGAAGGCGGAUCUCUGGGCCUUACCUGACGCUGAGACGCGAAAGCUAGGGGAGCGAACAGG